CUCUCUCUUGGGGGGGGAAAAUAUCUCUAACACUUGUGUGCACUGUUUACUGUCUCUCGGUGUUGGGUUUUCAUUUUUUUUGAUACCCUCACCAACUUAAACUUGAUAUAAAAUAAAUUCUAUGCCUUUAAUUUUAAAUUUUAUAAUUUGAAAACAACUUUUAACAACGGAUCUCUAGGCUCUCACAACGAUGAAGAACGCAGCGAAAUGCGAUAAGUAAUGUGAAUUGCAGAAUUCCGUGAAUCAUUAAAUCUUUGAACGCACAUUGCGCUCUUUGGUAUUCCGAAGAGCAUGCUUGUUUGAGUAUCAGUAAACACCUCAAAGCUUUUGAUUUAUUUUGAAGGCUUUGGACUUGAGCGAUCCCAACACCAAUCUUUUAAGAUCGGCGGCGGGUUGCUUGAAAUGCAGGUGCAGCUGGACAUUCUCCUGAGCUAAAAGCAUAUUUAUUUAGUCCCGUCAAACGGAUUAUUACUUUUGCUGCAGCUAAUAUAAAGGGAGUUUGGCCGUUUUGGCUGACUGAUGCAGGAUUUCACAAGGGUCGGCAACGAUUCUUGUUAAACUCGAUCUCAAAUCAAGUAAGACUACCCGCUGAACUUAAGCAUAUCAAUAA
rnacentral:rRNA from 1 species